rnacentral:rRNA from 1 species
UACGGAGGGGGCUAGCGUUGUUCGGAAUUACUGGGCGUAAAGCGCACGUAGGCGGCUUUGUAAGUUAGAGGUGAAAGCCCGGGGCUCAACCCCGGAAUUGCCUUUAAGACUGCAUCGCUUGAAUUGUGGAGAGGUAAGUGGAAUUCCGAGUGUAGAGGUGAAAUUCGUAGAUAUUCGGAAGAACACCAGUGGCGAAGGCGACUUACUGGACACAUAUUGACGCUGAGGCGCGAAAGCGUGGGGAUCAAACAGG